CUGCCGCCGUCCUCCCCCUGCUGCCCCGCACCCGCCUCACCAGCACCUGAACUUGCUCCCAGCUGGGCAGGCGGUUGCGUUUCCACGCGAGGCACAGAUGGUGUCUGGAUGCCCAUGAGCCGUGGGGCGCGAAAGGACACUUUGCUCUUCCACGAGCACCGGGAAGCGGGUGCUGAGGGGGUGUCGGGGGGGCCGGAUUUGGAGGAGGGGACUGAGCAGAGCAGGACUGCAGGGCGAGCGGGUCCCCCCGCCUGCGGAGGACCCGGCGUUUCCCCCGGUGGGACGCGGUUCCCAUGCGUGUCCCCGCAGUAGCGAGGUACCGGCAGCCGGGCGAGCGUCCCCGUCCCGCCCCCCGCGCCCCUCUGCCCGCAGGUAAAUAAAUACACCCGCGAUGGAGCCGGCGUGUGCGCGGAGCCGGGCUCAGCGUGCGGCGGGGAUUGACACCUGAUUCUCUCUCCCUCCCGCACCGUGGGAGCAGAAGAGGACCCUGCUCUGCCAGCGCAUCGCUCAGCGCUGCAGCCUCUGCCUGACCCUCGGAUCUCGGCUGUUGGUAAAGCGGCGGCUCCUCGGGGCAGCUCCCUGACAUCCAGCUGCCCACUGAGCCCGGCCGUGCCCCCAGCACAGCCCUGUGCAGGGCACCAAGCCGCCAGGACCCCGCGGUGCUGGGGAUGCUGCGGGCAGCACGUGCUGCCCCUGCAUCCCCCAGCCUGUACCACUGCCAGGCAGGGCCCCGAGGGCUGCGGGUCCAUGACCUCCCGCCCGGUUGGAGAUCACUGUGAUGGGCGCCAGCGCCUCAGCAUCCCCUUCCCCUGCACAUCUCCUGUCUCUCGCUGUUUCAUGUUAUGAAGGAAAUUUCUACAAGAUAAACCAAGUGUUUGGGGUUCAGUGGCAGAGCCUGCAGUAGGCCAGUGCCCGAGCCGAGGAUGGGAACUGCCACAUUUGUGUUUAUGGCUUGUUAGUGCGGAUGUCCAAUUAUGAUGUUUUCUACUCCAGCGUUAACCACUUCACUGCCAGGGAAAAAACACAAGGGAGGAGGGGCAGCUCUGGAAGAUCCGAGGCUGGAGGUGAAAAUGGGUAUCGCUCGGGAUUGCAUUUCCAGGUUGAUCUGUGGAGCCAGAAGCUGAAGGGCGAGAGCAGAGCCCGGGCGCCUCCCUCACUCCCACAGAAGCGGCCAGCUAGGAGGGCAACGAGCCCCCCACCGCGGGGCCUGCUCUGCGAUCGCUUCCAGCUCAAUGGCUGCUGCUCCUCCCUGAAGCUAAAAUAAAAUCCUGACCAUUUAAGGUGAACAGGAGACUUGCCUGGACCUCAGCGAAGCAGGCUUUUAACCCCUUCCCAUUGCUGGGCUUUGUUUCCUCCUUGAGUUCCCUUCGGCUGCGAGCUAGUCCAGCUUAAAGGUGUUUAGGAGAGCUCAUCCCCCAGGCACGAGGCGCUGCCCCCAUGCUUGGAGAGCUCGCAGGGGACAUGCACCGGCCAGGGCACCAAUUGGAAGCACAGUCACUCUUCCGUGCUGCUUCACCAUGUGGACACUCUUAUUUUAUACUAAGUGCCUUUGUGUGGGUUAGGUUAAUCCACUUUGGAAAUGGAUUAACCUAAAUUUCAUAUCAGCAAACUUAGUGCCAAACAGCCGCGUCCACACAGGGAGUAAGGGAAGAACAGCGACCCAGCAAUAGCUGCUGGGCAGGAGCUUUUCCCCGUGCAGGGGAGGGGUCCUGACCCCAAGGGGGGUCACCACUGUUACAAGUGGGGUCACGAGCCCGACAGAACUGCGAUUGUGUGGGCCAGCAUUUGGGGUUGUGUGCUGGCAGAGCUGGGGCUGCCUCCAGAAACAGCUGGGGACACGCGGGGAAACGGCACGCCAAGCUCCUUUCUAGUGGGUGUUUUUUGGAUUCUUAUUAUCUAGGGGGAAAUAACCGGCAAUUAGGCAUGGAAUUGGUAAUAAUAAUUUAUCAAGUUGUCAGGAACAGGGGGAAGUGCCUUACGGGGUGACAUGCUAAAAAACACCCAACCAAACAAACCAUAAUAAACCAGUACUACUGUUAUUAUGGUAUUUUAUAUAUAUAUAUAAUACACAUCAAAUAUAUUAUUUAUAAGUCACUUCCUUCCCUCUCUCCUUGCACCAUGUUCGUUACUCCUGGUCCCUGCAAAGCCCCUCACACGGAAACAGAGGUGACCUGGGCUCCCUGCCAGGCCGUGCCCACCGGACGGACCCGUCGGUGCCACCCACGAGAGGGGCCGUGCCCUGCGCACGGGCAGCGCCGCUUCCGAGGGCAUCGCUAGCGAUGCCCUGACCUCAUCUGUCAUCAUUUCCUAAGGCAAAGCUCCACAAGAGUACCAGGGCCGCUGUCAAACCCAGGACUAAACUAUGUUUUUAAGGCACCGUAGGAGCUUAAUUGAAUAGCAGUGCUGUUGAGCGUGGCUGCAGUGAUCUAGUGGUGGCGGCAGGGGAUGCAGACGGCAGGAUCCGGCCGUUGUGCCACAGGAGUCAAUGACUCAUGGGCGACCUUGUGCAAGUCACUUGAUGCUCUUGUGCCUCUGAAAAGUAGGUUAAGUAAUGAACUGGACCUUCUGCACUGGGUCCUCCAUGACCAUCAGACCCCACUGGGUAAUACGUAUUAAAAUGCGAAUCUCUUGGGGGGGAGGCCAGUAAGGAUGGGGGGCAGAGGAGGGGCUGAAGGAGUGCCCCGCUCACAUAUGCAGCUUUUAUCAACAAUGUAUUUUAAUUUAUCUGGCAUCCAGAGCAGAAUUGGGAAAAAAAAAGGAGAGUGAUGAUUUGGGAAAUGUUUUCAUAGAGCAGAUUUGUGGUGGGCUGAGGGCUGUAUUCCCACUGCACCUUGGUGGCUCCUCCUGCAAGCAGCAGUUGCCAGCAGCUGGUAUACACAGGAAUAAAAGGGUGGGUUCUUCCCGGGAGCCAAGAGCAAGAGAUGGAAAGAGAAUCCAGCUCCAUGCUUCAUGUGUACAGCAGCCAGGGCCCAGAAAAGGAGCAGGAACAGAGUUGUUUCUGUGGGUGGAACACGCCUCCCCAGAGCACAGGGAACGGGUCAAUCGCAGCCAACUAUCCCCUCACAUUUCUUCCCAAAGCCUGAACCCACAGCACCAGCAGGAACGUCUGCAUCGCACCAUACAGAGGACAACCCUCACAGCUCAUCUCUUGGCCACCCAGGUCAGAAUUGAGCCAACAUAAACAUAACUGCCGCUAAAUCAAUUUUUGGCCAUUCCCGGCGUGUUUCAGAAACCAUCUUUGCAAGGAAACCCGGCUCCUCUGAGAUGCCCGCGCUCGGUUUGCGCACACAGGGCUCCAGCACCGUGCGAGCCUCAGCACAGCUUCAGCCACAGCGGAACCAAGAGCGAGCACACCAUUCAAGGUUAAAAUGCUGAACCACACAGCUUCAUCUUCUAUAAUAACGGAAAUCAUUAAUAAUAGUUUGUGCUCUCAGAGUAGUUGCCAUCCAAGCUCUUGAAGAGUUUUAUUAGUGAGCAAGACCUCAGAAAUCUCUCUAAGGUAUUAUCCCCUUUUCAAAGGGAGAAGGCAAUUAAGAAACAGCCACUUGUGUGACUUGAUCAAAGUCAACACGCAGCACGGCAGCACCUGAGCUUGGGAGACAGUGCAGAAAACCUCACCAAGUGGAGCUUUCCACAGGUACGGGAUAAAUCUAAUAGCAUCCUUGAGAAUAUUCCAUGGACGUUAAACGCUUUCAUCACCAUGCGGUACAGCUCUCCACCUUUUCCCCAUGAAUGUUUCCUAGCCCCACUUUACAGGAGCUGGACCAAACCUUUGUCUCCAGUUCUACUGGGAACAGCUGCCUUGCUGCUGGUCACCCCAGAGAAUUUCAGACAGAUUCACCCCAGCCAGCCCAUGCUGGGGUCUCCAGUUGUUUGCUUGCACUGAGCAACCACAAAGCUCACCUGUCCUGCAGCUACACUGGGAAAAACACCAAAACAUCCCCACUACGGGAAAUAAAAGCUCUCACGUUGUUACUAGCUGGGAACGUCAGAGUUAAUUCCGAUGACAAAAAGGAGUUGCCGCUCGCUGAAAGCAAGCCAUUCACACGGGUUGGAAACCAGGCUGAACGGUCUGAUCAUCUGACCUCCCACAUCUCAUGAGCCAUUGAGGCCAAAGAUGAAAGUUUCGCUAAACUAUCUUGGCCAGUAAAGAAUGCUGUUAUGACGACCAGAGCCGAAUCCCCAGCUUUUGCCUGGACAAAGUCUGUCAUUUAGGGCAGAACUUACAUUUAACAGGCAGAGCUGCAUCCCCACUAGAGGGCUUUGUGCUGCAGACCCACGAGGAAGCCUCCAGCACAUGGAUUAAAUCCGGAUUUCUAACAGUCACGGUGCCUCUCUGUGUGUGAAGCCAAUAUUCCCUUCUCUUCUGUGGGGAAGGGUGACUAAGGGAACUUCUCUGGUGCUCCAAAAAGUCUUAAAAAUGAGCACCAGGAAACAAAGAUCUUGGCAAGCCAAGGAAAAGCCUCUGGAACAAGAGUUACCUUGUUGAGUGGAUUUAGAGGCAUUUAUUCCUGGAGAUGUUUCACACUCUCUUUAAUGAACUGGGAAGUACCUUCUCAGCCUCAUGUGAUGCAAACGCAUCAUCCCUCUUCCUUUCAGACACUGACUGCAUGCUCCUGCCUUCUCUGCACAUCUACAAACACACAUGGGGUUUCUCUUGGAUCCCUCCAACAGAUCAGCCCAAGGCCUGGAUCACACCCAGCAGCUGCCAGCUCUGCCAGAUUCGGUUCUAGUCCCUGGACUACAUGAAAUGAGACGUCUGCAAACCUCACCAAUGAGUGCAGAGACUGGAAAUGAAAACCCAGCGUGUUCUGUUCCCCAGCCGCUCGCUCCUCCUGUGUUGCCUCCCCACUGCCAGUGCUGCGGCCUCGGAGCCGCACAGGGAUGGAACCAGCAGACGGAACCGCGAGCUGCCCGGGGAAGGGGCACCUGGGCUGUUCUGGCAACACCGGAGCCUCCCAAGACACUGCAGUGAGCCAGCACAGAGAUGGGUGUGCCAGGGACAGCGCACAGUCGAAGGAGAAGGAUUCGCAUCACAAACCAGCCUCGGUCACGAGGCUCUCACAGCUCCCAGAUCCGUCAGAGGAUCCUCACCAGUGUCAGACAAAGCCAACUCCCUGUACAUCCGUGGCAUCUGAGCCCCGCAGUGUGCCCCACCAGGAUCAUCCUGCUGUUCGGGUUCAAACAUUGCUUGAAAUCAUCUUUUGAAAGCCACUUCAGAUCCAGGCACCGUCACACACUCCAGGUUUACAGGGACAUCACUGGGCGGAUGGAGCGCGAGCAGGACCAGGCGCCGUCCUCUCCAGCGCUCGAGUCCGCGCAGCAAGGCCAUAGCAACGAGAAAAACACUCCUGCCAUUCACCGACUGCGCGAUCUCCUGUCAGCAGCCAUUGAACAACCUUGGAGGAUGUUUCUGUGUCAUUCAAACCUGGUUCCUCGGCCCUGGACUGCGGCUGCCAAGGCAGCAGCAGCAUCUCCAGAGCAGAGAGUGAGGCUGGCAUGUCAGUGCUGGGAUUUGUUCUUUUAAAACCUUCAUAUCCUACCAGCCACCAGUGGAAGUCACACCCAACAGUGUGGCAUGAGAAAUAAAUCCAAGGCUGACUUUGAAUAAGACAGAAAAAAUUGUCUGGAAAAUGACUGCAAUAAACUCAAAUAACCAAUCAUUUAAAAAUGUUAAUAUGUAGCAUUUGAAAAUGAGGUGGAAGGAUCAUUAUAGAUAAAUAUCACAUAUCUUGUUUUCAUUCUUUUUUGCUGCUAGACUGGGAAGGUCAGAAGUUCCGACACGCUUUAAUGCCUCGGUAGAUACCCUGAAAUGUGGCUCAUUUGGCACUUUGGAGAAGGCGAGGGGCCUGAUUUUUCUCACACAUGUGAGAAUUGGUAUAAAAUGGGAAGAAGAUUCACACCCCAGCAGCUCCUGCAUAUUCUAGUGAGCCCAGUGUAAGCAACACGGGUCACAGUUGUUUUCCAUCAUGCCAGAAUAAAUGUACUGACUCCAAUAAAUAUAUUGGAAUAUAUUCUGGAGGAACUCUUCAUUCUGUGAGCAACCAGGUAAAGAGCUCCUCUCUGAACUGGUUCCUGUCCCUCAGCAGAGAUAAAAUGCUUUUUC